GAACUUAGCAGAGAUGCUUGGUGCCUUCGGGAACUCUGAGACAGGUGCUGCAUGGCUGUCGUCAGCUCGUGUUGUGAAAUGUUGGGUUAAGUCCCGCAACGAGCGCAACCCUUAUCCUUUGUUGCCAGCGGUUAGGCCGGGAACUCAAAGGAGACUGCCAGUGAUAAACUGGAGGAAGGUGGGGAUGACGUCAAGUCAUCAUGGCCCUUACGAGUAGGGCUACACACGUGCUACAAUGGCGCAUACAAAGAGAAGCGACCUCGCGAGAGCAAGCGGACCUCAUAAAGUGCGUCGUAGUCCGGAUUGGAGUCUGCAACUCGACUCCAUGAAGUCGGAAUCGCUAGUAAUCGUGGAUCAGGAUGCCACGGUGAAUACGUUCCCGGGCCUUGUACACACCGCCCGUCACACCAUGGGAGUGGGUUGCAAAAGAAGUAGGUAGCUUAACCUUCGGGAGGGCGCUUACCACUUUGUGAUUCAUGACUGGGGUGAAGUCGUAACAAGGUAAGCGUAGUGCU
rnacentral:rRNA from 1 species